GCCAGACUCCUACGGGAGGCAGCAGUGGGGAAUAUUGGACAAUGGGGGGAACCCUGAUCCAGCGACGCCGCGUGAGUGGAGAAGUAUUUCGGUAUGUAAAGCUCUAUCAGCAGGGAAGAAAGAAAUGACGGUACCUGACUAAGAAGCCCCGGCUAACUACGUGCCAGCAGCCGCGGUAAUACGUAGGGGGCAAGCGUUAUCCGGAUUUACUGGGUGUAAAGGGAGCGUAGACGGCGAUGCAAGUCUGAAGUGAAAGGUGGGGGCCCAACCCCCGGACUGCUUUGGAACUGCGCGGCUGGAGUGCAGGAGGGGCAGGCGGAAUUCCUGGUGUAGCGGUGAAAUGCGUAGAUAUCAGGAGGAACACCGGUGGCGAAGGCGGCCUGCUGGACUGCGACUGACGUUGAGGCCCGAAAGCGUGGGGAGCAAACAGGAUUAGAUACCCCGGUACC
rnacentral:rRNA from 1 species